CAUGCUGCAGGCAGAAUCACCGGAUGAGCUGGGGAAAGAAACAGCCGUCAGGCGAUCACGGGCUGGUGCCAACGCUGGCAAACACUAGCCAGCCAUGUCACAGAAUCGUUACCAAAUAUCUCCUGGCUUUGGCCCACGAGGAUGGCUUCUGAUUGAUUAUUCAGCCAAAUCUGAAUUUGAGACCUUGAUGUGAGUUCUGGGCAAAUAGACUGUGUUUUGUUUAAUGCAGGAAGCAACUAUUGCUUAUUAAAUAAAACGGAAUGAUAUUUA